rnacentral:rRNA from 1 species
AUGUUGAAGGAGAAGAAAGAGCGGGCAGAGAACCAGGAGAACAAAGCCUUGGAGGAGGCCGAGAAAACGGAAUUAGAAAGUAAAAAAAGCGGGAAACGAGUUGCCCAGCUCGGGGAACAAAGUAAACAAUCGAUUGCCCCGCUUAUAGUGAAAGCCGCCGGUCCGGAUGACCCCGAUAUCAUAGCAGCUGCGGCAGCACAUGGAUUGACUGUAACGAGUGCCAGAGAACAAGCGGCCAACUUAGGUAUUACUCUUCGUGAACUGUUAGGCCUUGAUGAGGCGUCAGUGAAGGAGGUAGUAAUUACAUAUGUGAAGAAUGGGCCUCUCGUCGAGCCUGCGCAGGAAGAGGAUCUACCUCCACAAAUGAAAGGUCUGCUGAAAUGGUACAAGGGUUACAUAAAAAAUAAAAACGCCAAAGAAUAUAUUUAUGCGGAAGUUAGAUAUGAGCAUCACUUCAAACAUUACUAUGUACAAAUUCAUCUGAGUGAAUUGUUCCAGCUUUUCAAUCUGCGCGAGCUCGACAAAUCUAUCAUCGGUUGCUACGUUCUGUAA